AACGAACGCUGGCGGCAUGCCUAACACAUGCAAGUCGAACGAGACCUUCGGGUCUAGUGGCGCACGGGUGCGUAACGCGUGGGAACCUGCCCUUAGGUUCGGAAUAACUCCCCGAAAGGGGUGCUAAUACCGGAUAAUGUCUUCGGACCAAAGAUUUAUCGCCUUUGGAUGGGCCCGCGUUGGAUUAGCUAGUUGGUAGGGUAAAAGCCUACUAAGGCGACGAUCCAUAGCUGGUCUGAGAGGAUGAUCAGCCACACUGGGGCUGAGACACGGCCCAGACUCCUACGGGAGGCAGCAGUGGGGAAUAUUGGACGAUGGGCGAAAGCCUGAUCCAGCAAUGCCGCGUGAGUGAUGAAGGCCUUAGGGUUGUAAAGCUCUUUUACCCGGGAUGAUAAUGACAGUACCGGGAGAAUAAGCACCGGCUAACUCCGUG
rnacentral:rRNA from 1 species